rnacentral:rRNA from 2 species
AAGGUGGCCUGUGAGGGUUGCUGGAGGUAUCAGAAGUGCGAAUGCUGACAUAAGUAACGAUAAAGCGGGUGAAAAGCCCGCUCGCCGGAAGACCAAGGGUUCCUGUCCAACGUUAAUCGGGGCAGGGUGAGUCGACCCCUAAGGCGAGGCCGAAAGGCGUAGUCGAUGGGAAACGGGUUAAUAUUCCCGUACUUGGUGUUACUGCGAAGGGGGGACGGAGAAGGCUAUGUUGGCCGGGCGACGGUUGUCCCGGUUUAAGCGUGUAGGUGUGUGUUCCAGGUAAAUCCGGUUCACUUUAACACUGAGGCGUGACGACGAGGCACUACGGUGCUGAAGCAACAAAUGCCCUGCUUCCAGGAAAAGCCUCUAAGCAUCAGGUAACAUCAAAUCGUACCCCAAACCGACACAGGUGGUCAGGUAGAGAAUACCAAGGCGCUUGAGAGAACUCGGGUGAAGGAACUAGGCAAAAUGGUGCCGUAACUUCGGGAGAAGGCACGCUGACACGUAGGUGAAGUGAUUUACUCAUGGAGCUGAAGUCAGUCGAAGAUACCAGCUGGCUGCAACUGUUUAUUAAAAACACAGCACUGUGCAAACACGAAAGUGGACGUAUACGGUGUGACGCCUGCCCGGUGCCGGAAGGUUAAUUGAUGGGGUCAGCGCAAGCGAAGCUCCUGAUCGAAGCCCCGGUAAACGGCGGCCGUAACUAUAACGGUCCUAAGGUAGCGAAAUUCCUUGUCGGGUAAGUUCCGACCUGCACGAAUGGCGUAAUGAUGGCCAGGCUGUCUCCACCCGAGACUCAGUGAAAUUGAACUCGCUGUGAAGAUGCAGUGUACCCGCGGCAAGACGGAAAGACCCCGUGAACCUUUACUAUAGCUUGACACUGAACAUUGAGCCUUGAUGUGUAGGAUAGGUGGGAGGCUUUGAAGUGUGGACGCCAGUCUGCAUGGAGCCGACCUUGAAAUACCACCCUUUAAUGUUUGAUGUUCUAACGUGGACCCGUGAUCCGGGUUGCGGACAGUGUCUGGUGGGUAGUUUGACUGGGGCGGUCUCCUCCUAAAGAGUAACGGAGGAGCACGAAGGUUGGCUAAUCCUGGUCGGACAUCAGGAGGUUAGUGCAAUGGCAUAAGCCAGCUUGACUGCGAGCGUGACGGCGCGAGCAGGUGCGAAAGCAGGUCAUAGUGAUCCGGUGGUUCUGAAUGGAAGGGCCAUCGCUCAACGGAUAAAAGGUACUCCGGGGAUAACAGGCUGAUACCGCCCAAGAGUUCAUAUCGACGGCGGUGUUUGGCACCUCGAUGUCGGCUCAUCACAUCCUGGGGCUGAAGUAGGUCCCAAGGGUAUGGCUGUUCGCCAUUUAAAGUGGUACGCGAGCUGGGUUUAGAACGUCGUGAGACAGUUCGGUCCCUAUCUGCCGUGGGCGCUGGAGAACUGAGGGGGGCUGCUCCUAGUACGAGAGGACCGGAGUGGACGCAUCACUGGUGUUCGGGUUGUCAUGCCAAUGGCACUGCCCGGUAGCUAAAUGCGGAAGAGAUAAGUGCUGAAAGCAUCUAAGCACGAAACUUGCCCCGAGAUGAGUUCU